CGAUCAGAUACCGUCGUAGUCUUAACCAUAAACGAUGCCGACCAGCGAUUAGGAGACGUUGAAUACAAAACACCACCAUCGGUGCGGUCGUCCUUGGCGUCGGUCUUCAAAAGCCGGCGCGNGGGGGUGGCUUANCCCGGNGGNACNGGCNAAUGACUCCCCUAGCAGCUUGUGAGAAAUCAUAANUCUUUGGGUUCCGGNGGGAGUNUGGUCGCAAGGCUGAAACUUAAAGGAAUNGACGGAAGGGCACCACCAGGAGUGGAGCCUGCGGNUUAAUUUGACUCANCACGGGGAAACUUACCAGGNCCGGACAUAGUAAGGAUUGACAGAUUGAUAGCUCUUUCUUGAUUCUAUGGGUGG
rnacentral:rRNA from 1 species